GAUGAACGCUGGCGGCGUGCCUAAUACAUGCAAGUCGAGCGAACGGACGAGAAGCUUGCUUCUCUGAUGUUAGCGGCGGACGGGUGAGUAACACGUGGAUAACCUACCUAUAAGACCGGGAUAACUUCGGGAAACCGGAGCUAAUACCGGAUAAUAUUUUGAACCGCAUGGUUCAAAAGUGAAAGACGGUCUUGCUGUCACUUAUAGAUGGAUCCGCGCUGCAUUAGCUAGUUGGUAAGGUAACGGCUUACCAAGGCAACGAUGCAUAGCCGACCUGAGAGGGUGAUCGGCCACACUGGAACUGAGACACGGUCCAGACUCCUACGGGAGGCAGCAGUAGGGAAUCUUCCGCAAUGGGCGAAAGCCUGACGGAGCAACGCCGCGUGAGUGAUGAAGGUCUUCGGAUCGUAAAACUCUGUUAUUAGGGAAGAACAUAUGUGUAAGUAACUGUGCACAUCUUGACGGUACCUAAUCAGAAAGCCACGGCUAACUACGUGCCAGCAGCCGCGGUAAUACGUAGGUGGCAAGCGUUAUCCGGAAUUAUUGGGCGUAAAGCGCGCGUAGGCGGUUUUUUAGUCUGAUGUGAAAGCCCACGGCUCAACCGUGGAGGGUCAUUGGAAACUGGAAAACUUGAGUGCAGAAGAGGAAAGUGGAAUUCCAUGUGUAGCGGUGAAAUGCGCAGAGAUAUGGAGGAACACCAGUGGCGAAGGCGACUUUCUGGUCUGUAACUGACGCUGAUGUGCGAAAGCGUGGGGAUCAAACAGGAUUAGAUACCCUGGUAGUCCACGCCGUAAACGAUGAGUGCUAAGUGUUAGGGGGUUUCCGCCCCUUAGUGCUGCAGCUAACGCAUUAAGCACUCCGCCUGGGGAGUACGACCGCAAGGUUGAAACUCAAAGGAAUUGACGGGGACCCGCACAAGCGGUGGAGCAUGUGGUUUAAUUCGAAGCAACGCGAAGAACCUUACCAAAUCUUGACAUCCUUUGACCGCUCUAGAGAUAGAGUUUUCCCCUUCGGGGGGGCAAAGUGACAGGUGGUGCAUGGUUGUCGUCAGCUCGUGUCGUGAGAUGUUGGGUUAAGUCCCGCAACGAGCGCAACCCUUAAACUUAGUUGCCAGCAUUAAGUUGGGCACUCUAAGUUGACUGCCGGUGACAAACCGGAGGAAGGUGGGGAUGACGUCAAAUCAUCAUGCCCCUUAUGAUUUGGGCUACACACGUGCUACAAUGGACAAUACAAAGGGCAGCGAAACCGCGAGGUCAAGCAAAUCCCAUAAAGUUGUUCUCAGUUCGGAUUGUAGUCUGCAACUCGACUACAUGAAGCUGGAAUCGCUAGUAAUCGUAGAUCAGCAUGCUACGGUGAAUACGUUCCCGGGUCU
rnacentral:rRNA from 1 species